UACAGAGGGUGCAAACGUUGUUCGGAAUUACUGGGCGUAAAGCGCGUGUAGGCGGCCUAGUGUGUCGGGCGUGAAAUCCCACGGCUCAACCGUGGAAGUGCACUCGAAACUGCAAGGCUGGAGUCCCGGAGAGGAUGGUGGAACUCUCGGUGUAGAGGUGAAAUUCGUAGAUAUCGAGAAGAACACCGGUGGCGAAGGCGGCCAUCUGGACGGUGACUGACGCUGAGACGCGAAAGCGUGGGGAGCAAACAGG
rnacentral:rRNA from 1 species